rnacentral:rRNA from 1 species
AGAGUUUGAUCCUGGCUCAGGACGAACGCUGGCGGCGUGCCUAAUACAUGCAAGUGGAACGCAACUUUUCAUCCGUUUCUUCGGAAACAUCUGAGAAGUUGAGUCGCGAACGGGUGAGUAACGCGUAGGUAACCUGCCUGAUAGCGGGGGAUAACUAUUGGAAACGAUAGCUAAUACCGCAUAAGAGCUUUAGUGGCAUCAUUGGAGCUUAAAAGGAGCAACUGCUUCACUAUCAGAUGGACCUGCGUUGUAUUAGCUAGUUGGUGGGGUAAAGGCCUACCAAGGCAACGAUACAUAGCCGACCUGAGAGGGUGAUCGGCCACACUGGGACUGAGACACGGCCCAGACUCCUACGGGAGGCAGCAGUAGGGAAUCUUCGGCAAUGGGGGGAACCCUGACCGAGCAACGCCGCGUGAGUGAAGAAGGUUUUCGGAUCGUAAAGCUCUGUUGUAAGAGAAGAACGUGUGAGAGAGUGGAAAGUUCUCACAGUGACGGUAUCUUACCAGAAAGGGACGGCUAACUACGUGCCAGCAGCCGCGGUAAUACGUAGGUCCCGAGCGUUGUCCGGAUUUAUUGGGCGUAAAGCGAGCGCAGGCGGUUUCGUAAGUCUGAAGUAAAAGGCUGUGGCUUAACCAUAGUACGCUUUGGAAACUGCGGAACUUGAGUGCAGAAGGGGAGAGUGGAAUUCCAUGUGUAGCGGUGAAAUGCGUAGAUAUAUGGAGGAACACCGGUGGCGAAAGCGGCUCUCUGGUCUGUAACUGACGCUGAGGCUCGAAAGCGUGGGUAGCGAACAGGAUUAGAUACCCUGGUAGUCCACGCCGUAAACGAUGAGUGCUAGGUGUUGGGUCCUUUCCGGGACUCAGUGCCGGAGCUAACGCAUUAAGCACUCCGCCUGGGGGAGUACGGCCGCAAGGCUGAAACUCAAAGGAAUUGACGG